UAUAAUUUUUUAAUUUUUUUCCCAUUAUUUAUUAAAAGUUGAAGCAAACACACCCUACAAUAUUGUCCUAAUCAAACUUUUAUUUGGGUAGAAUAGAUCAUUACCAUUUGAGUCGAUGAUUAUUGGGUGAGUUACAGUUUUCUUACUUUUAUUUAUUUAUUUAUUCUCAAUCUCAAAUCACUAUAAUCAAAACAGAUUAAACAUAAUGAAAGAAAAAUGACCCAUAAAUCUUUUUAUUUUAGGCCCACACGAUGUCAUUACAUCAUUCAACCAAAUAUUUUUUUUUUUAAUUCGAAAGUUCAAGUAAACACACAGAACCAUUUAACUUUUCAUUUUAAAAUGAAAUAGUAUAUCAUCUGUAUUGAAUGUUCAUUGAUAAUGUGUAUUUAUGUGUGGUUAGCAAAGUACUAUCAUUUUGAGAAGCAUUUUUCAUACAUUAAAAAAUUAAGAAUAAUUGUAUUUUUUUUUUUUUUUGAAAUUGAGAGUCCAAAUUAGGAAUGGUUGCAGGGCAGUUUUGGGCGGAUGUACUCUCUCCCGUCCCCGCAACCGAUUAGAAAACCCCGUCCCGUCUACACCCAAAAAUAGCUAAAUGGGGUUUUUCUAUCCCAUUCCCGCCCCGUUUAACUUUUUUACCCCGGGGGCACCUACCCUGCCUUAUUUAGUUCCAUAAUUUUUCCUCUUUUUAAAUUUUUUUUACGAAUACAAUUAUAUAACUAUUGAAGAAAUUCAUAAAAAAAUGAACAACAAAUAAUUUAAAAUAAAAUUUAAGGGUAUAAACAUUCUUAGUUCAUAGGGCUUUGCUGGUUUCUAGAACGAUCGAGAAAGUGAGUGAAUCUGAUCUAUGAUUUCUAGAGCUAACUAUAUAUACUAAUAAAAUAAGAGUAAUUUAGUAAUUUACCUACUUAAACGAGGCGGGGCGGGGUGACCUCCCUCCGUCUCGAACUUACGCGGUUUUUACUAAUAAAAAUUAUAUUUGCCCAAAUAAGCUAAUCGGCCCCCCAAAAUCGCUAUAAACGGGACAGGGUGGAGCAGGUACCCGUCCCCAUGGGGCAAAUUGCUAUCCUUAGUUUGAAUAUAAGAUGAAGAGGUGGUGGGCUCAAAUCUAUCAUAACUCCAAAGAUAGAGUUGUGAUACAAGUGGAACAAAUCCGACUAAUUAAUAAACUCAAAUCUAUCAUAGCUCCAAAGAUAGAGUUGUGGUAGAGUUGUGAUACAAGUGGAAUAGAUUUGACUAAUUAAUAGGCUCAAAUCUAUGGUAACUCUAAAGGUAGAGUUGUGAUACAAGUGGAACAAAUCUGACUAAUUAAUAAACUCAAAUCUAUUAUAGCUCCAAAGAUAGAGUUGUGAUACAAGUGGAACAUAUCUGACUAAUUAAUAGACUCAAAUCUAUCACAGCUCCAAAGGUAGAGUUGUGGUAGAGUUGUGAUACAAGUGGAAUAGAUUUGACUAAUUAAUAGGCUCAAAUCUAUGGUAACUCUAAAGGUAGAGUUGUGAUACAAGUGGAAUAGAUCUGACUAAUUAAUUGGCUCAAAUCUAUCAUAUCUCUAGAGGUAGAGUUGUGGUAACUCUAAAGGUAGAGUUGUGAUACAAGUGGAACAGAUCUGACUAAUUAAAUGGCUCAAAUCUAUCAUAGCUCUAAAGGUAGAGUUGUGAUACAUGUGGGACAUAUGUGACUAAUUAAUAAGCACGUUCGCGUGUGAGCCUCAUGUAUAUUUAUUGAUCACUUUGAUUUGGCUAUAGAAAAUCAUGCUAGUAACUAUAUAAAGAGUCGCUCCUUUGUUAAAAAUGAACGUAGAGAGAGGGGUUAGUAUAGAAUAUUAAAAGCCUUGAGUGCAUUUUGAUUUACUUGUAGAAUGUAGAUAUAUUAGUAGAUCGAUCAUAAGACCAAAUUCUUGUACAUUUUGAUUGAAGUAAAACCCUCCGGUUUUGGAUUCUUCUUGUGGUGCUCAUAGCAAUCAUGUGUUUGGAUUUGACCUAAAGGAAGCCCGAGAGAGAUUAAGAAAUAGAGAGGAUCAAAACAAAAAUGUAUCCAUCAAUGAAGAAUGCUUUUAGGAUUAUGUGGCUAUGAUCCUAUAACACUAACAGAAUGUUCGUCCCACUUGAAGUUGGAACAUGACCUUAGUGUGAUGGAAUAUCUAUGAAUGAGCCCACUAGCAGCAAUUAACCACAUUUGUCUGUUAACUUUUUGAUCUUAUCGAUCUAGCGUCAUUCUUUUUUUUUUUUUUUGUAAUGAGUGGACAUGUGAUUUUAUUUAUAGAAUAUACCAUUCCUCUAAAGUUCAUUCAGACUUUUCCCACCUUUCAUGUCUAGGGAUUUGAGGAUUUCUUAUGAAAUGGGAUCUUAUUUGGGGGGUCACCAAUCAAUGAAAAUGGACCACCAUCACAUUCAUUUCAUUUUUAACACAUUUAUUUUAAAUUACAUAGUGGUAGGUAGGUCCCAACCCCCUCCAUUCACCGGCGGAUCCAAGGCCCAAAUUUUUUUUUUUUUUUUUUUUUUUACUGUACCUAAUUUUAGUCCAGCCACACACACACAUAUAUAUAUAUAUAUAUAUUACCAUUAUUAGCCCACCAAAAAAAUGUUAGCCCACCACAUUAAUAAUUUCUGAAUUUGACUUUGUAUGCAUGUGUGGUAUAGAGUAAUUUGGUCAAAAGGGUAAUGUUGAAAAUGGUUGCAACCUGCAACAAUUUUCCACCAAACAGGCGGCUAGCAAGAAGGAAAUAAGGGUCACCACAUGACACCCACCAAAUCAAUAUUAGUAAAAAAUACUAAAUUAAACCAAUUUAUAUUCUUAUCUACUCUUUAAAUUGGGGUUGCCACUAAAACUUUGGAUUAGAAAUUUAGAGCCGCAAAAUGGGUGUCGAAUCAACAGCAAAAGUCCAUUCUCGGCCGUGACUAAAAUCCACCAAUAAUUGAUAAAUUAUUCUCUCAACAUAACACAUGACAACAGUACCAUACUCGUGAUCCAUUGAAUUCCUCGUUUCGAUGAUUUGGUAGGCCAUGUCCCCAUGCGCCCAGAUAUUUUAUUUUACAAUUUUUUUUUU